rnacentral:misc_RNA from 1 species
GAAAGCUUGAAACCACCAGCCCAAGUUGCCCUCAAAGCCACGCUUCUUUCAUCUCCCAGUAAACUACUAUUUAUGGGGUUCUAUUCUUCACGCCUAUUUGUUUCAUAACACCACCGUUCCCUCUCUCAGCUGCAAGCCUAUCUUUGUUCUUUCAUCAUCAAAUCUGCAAUUUUAGUCUGAUAACAGAACCUAAUAGACGUUUUAUAUAGGAUAUUUGGUUUUUUGCUCUAUUUUCCUUUGGAAGAGUUUACCUUCUAGGUCUCUUUUAGGUUUGAAUAAAUUAUAGUAAGAGUUGUUAGAACAAGAGAGGUUUGAUCAGGAUUUGAAAGGUAUGGAAAACAAUUCCAUGCUCAGUAGGGAUGAUGAGCAGAUGGAAUUGCCUCCGGGAUUUCGAUUCCAUCCAACUGAUGAAGAGCUUAUAACCCACUACCUAUCCCAAAAGGUUCUUAAUAAUUGUUUCUGUGCUAGAGCUAUAGGUGAGGUAGAUUUGAACAAGUGUGAACCUUGGGAUUUGCCUCGUAAGUCUGUGUCCCACUAUUUCCUCUGUCUUCUCUGUUUCUUUCAUUUAUGGUAAAUUUGGUUUUUGCUGGUGGAUUAUGUUCUAACCUUACGGUUUAUGUUUGUUUAAUGAAGGGAGGGCCAAAAUGGGUGAAAAGGAAUGGUAUUUUUUCUGUGUUAGAGACAGAAAGUACCCAACUGGUUUAAGAACAAACAGAGCUACUGCCUCUGGCUACUGGAAAGCCACAGGCAAAGACAAGGAAAUCUACAGGGCUAAAACCCUUGUUGGAAUGAAGAAGACUUUGGUUUUCUACAAAGGGAGAGCCCCUAAAGGAACGAAAACCAACUGGGUCAUGCACGAGUAUAGAUUAGAGGGAAAAUACUCGGUGUAUAAUCUCCCUAAAACAGCAAAGAAUGAAUGGGUUAUUUGCAGAGUUUUCCAAAAGAGCUCUGGAGGAAAGAAAACUCAUAUUGCAGGGUUGGUGAGGAUGAGUUCAUAUGGAAAUGAAUUAAGGCCAUCAUCUUUAUUGCCUCCAUUGAUGGAUUCUUCUCCACAUAACAGUGAGACAUGGACUUCCGAGGACAAUACUUCUCACGUGACCUGCUUCUCCAAGCCAAUGGAGGACCAAAAAGCCAAAGAAGACAUGUUUGAUAGCUUCGACAAUACUUCUUUUCUCUUGGCUUCUACGUCUUCUUCCUCCCCUUCCUCAGUUCUGUUUUCAAAAACCUCUCUUCCAAACUCUUACUAUUCCUCUCAAAUUUCACCAAGUUUCGCAAACUUGCAGUACCCAAAUUCUGCUCUGAUGCCAGAACAGUCCAUCUUGAAGAUGAUGCUUGAAAACCAAGGACCAAACAUGAAGCAGGACUCCAAAAUGGAGCUUUCAUUUAGCCCGGAUAUAUCUUCUGUGGUAAUCAACCCUGAACUGGUUCACAGGUCCUUCGAGGAUCAAAAGGCUCCAUCAAGUUCUGCUGGACCAGUAGGCCUUGAUUGUCUGUGGAGUUAUUGAACUUAAAUUAGAAAAAAAUAUAAAAUAUAUUGAGCUGUCAUUGCUGUUAUAUAAGUGUGGUCUCUGUAAAUAUUCCCUGCAUCCAAAAGAUAGGAAUUCAAGGCUUUGCAUGUAGCAUAAGCUAUGAAGUUACCCUUUUUUUUUUUUUCUUAGAUUUCCUACUAUCCAUUAAAUGCACCCUAGUCUUUCCAUGCCCCAUGUCAUUUGCCAACCUACUUGUAAAAAAAAAAAUAUAUAUUGUGC